rnacentral:rRNA from 1 species
UUAGCUAGUUGGUGGGGUAAGGGCCUACCAAGGCGACGAUCAGUAGCUGGUCUGAGAGGAUGAUCAGCCACACUGGGACUGAGACACGGCCCAGACUCCUACGGGAGGCAGCAGUGGGGAAUUUUCCGCAAUGGGCGAAAGCCUGACGGAGCAACGCCGCGUGAGGGAUGAAGGCCUUUGGGNUGUAAACCUCUUUUCUCAAGGAAGAAGAUCUGACGGUACUUGAGGAAUAAGCCUCGGCUAAUUCCGUGCCAGCAGCCGCGGUAAUACGGGAGUGGCAAGCGUUAUCCGGAAUUAUUGGGCUAAAAGCGUCCGA